rnacentral:miRNA from 1 species
CGUGAAUAUUAAUAUUACG